CUUUCGUGAGAAGUUCUGAGAGCAUGAAGGACACUGAAAUGGCUUCUCGCCUGUGUGGGUGCGCAGGUGGGCUUUCAGGUUGCCCUUUUGUGAGAAGCUCUGAGAGCAUGAAGGGCACUGAUAUGGCUUCUCGCCUGUGUGGGUGCGCAGGUGGGCUUUUAGGUCAGCCUUUCGUGAAAAGCUCUGAGAGCAUGAAGGGCACUCAAAUGGCUUCUUGCCUGUGUGGGUGUGCAGGUGUUUCAUAAGGUUGGCCUUCUGUGAGAAGCUCCGAGAGCAUGAAGGACACUGAAAUGGCUUCUCGCCUGUGUGGGUGCGCAGGUGUCUCAUAAGAUUGGCCUUCUGUGAGAAGCUCCGAGAGCAUGAAGGACACUGAUAUGGCUUCUCGCCUGUGCGGCUGCACAGGUGUUUCAUAAAGUUGGCCUUCUGUGAGAAGCUCCGAGAGCAUGAAGGACACUGAUAUGGCUUCUCGCCUGUGCGGGUGCACAGGUGUUUCAUAAGAUUGGCCUUCUGUGAGAAGCUCCGAGAGCAUGAAGGACACUGAAAUGGCUUCUCGCCUGUGUGGAUGCGCAGGUGUCCCAUAAGAGUGGCCUUCUGUGAGAAGCUCCGAGAGCAUGAAGGACACUGAAAUGGCUUCUCGCCUGUGUGGGUGCACAGGUGUUUCAUAAGGUCGGCCUUCUGUGAGAAGCUCUGAGGGCAUGAAGGGCACUGAAAUGGCUUCUCACCUGCGUGGGUGCGCAGGUGCUCUUUCAGGUUGGUCUUUCGUGAGAAGCUCCGAAGGCAUGAAGGGCACUGAAAUGGCUUCUCGCCAGUGUGGACGCUGGCAUGU